UAUGUCUACUUUUGUACAGUGUAAUGCUGUU
rnacentral:piRNA from 1 species